AGAAGCUUAGGUUACUGUCUCAAACCAGAAGCCUUCAAAGCCUCAAACAGGGUCUCAAACCCCCUAGCUUCUG
rnacentral:tRNA from 1 species